UACGUAGGGAGCAAGCGUUGUCCGGAAUUAUUGGGCGUAAAGCGCGCGUAGGUGGCCUCGUAAGUCCGCUGUAAAAGUCAAAGGCUCAACCUUUGAAAGCCGGUGGAUACUGCGGGGCUAGAGUACGGAAGAGGCGAGUGGAAUUCCUGGUGUAGCGGUGGAAUGCGCAGAUAUCAGGAGGAACACCAAUGGCGAAGGCAGCUCGCUGGGACGUGACUGACGCUGAGACGCGAAAGCGUGGGGAGCAAACAGG
rnacentral:rRNA from 1 species